AUUGAACGCUGGCGGCAGGCCUAACACAUGCAAGUCGAGCGAGCGGCGGACGGGUGAGUAAUGUCUGGGAAACUGCCUGAUAUAGGGGGAUAACUACUUGAAACGGUAGCUAAUACCGCAUACCCUCAGAGUUGCCCAGAUGGGAUUAUCUAGUAGGUUGGGUAACGGCUAACCUAGGCGACGAUCCCUAUAUGGUCUGAGAGGAUGACCAGCCACACUGGAACUGAGACACGUUCCAGACUCCUACGGGAGGCAGCAGUGGGGAAUAUUGCAAAAUGGGCGCAAGCCUGAUGCAGCCAUGCCGCGUGUAUGAAGAAGGCCUUCGGGUUGUAAAGCACUUUCAGCGGGGAGGCGUGACCCGCAGAAGAAGCACCGGCUAACUCCGUGCCAGCAGCCGCGGUAAUAC
rnacentral:rRNA from 1 species